rnacentral:RNase_P_RNA from 1 species
GAAAGUCCGGGCUCCCUAAAGACCAGGCUUGUUGGAUAACGCCCAGUGCGAGUGAUCGUGAGGAUAGUGCCACAGAAAAAUACCGCCCUGUUGAUCAGGGUAAGGGUGCAAAGGUGCGGUAAGAGCGCACCAGCAGUGUCGUGAGGCACUGGCUCGGUAAACCCCGGCUGGGAGCAAGGUUGGAGGGAUAAUGGUUGGUCUUUUUCCAGUUCCGUUGCGUUCAUAGAUUCAUCUAUGAUGCUAGGCAUACCGCAAGAGGUGUCUGGUAACAGACAUCCCAGAUAGAUAACUGCCCUC